CGGGGUGAGUAACGCGUGGGUAACCUGCCCCAUACAGGGGGAUAACAGUUAGAAAUGACUGCUAAUACCGCAUAAGCGCACUGCAUCGCAUGAUGAAGUGUGAAAAACUGAGGUGGUAUGGGAUGGGCCCGCGUCUGAUUAGCCAGUUGGCGGGGUAACGGCCCACCAAAGCGACGAUCAGUAGCCGACCUGAGAGGGUGACCGGCCACAUUGGGACUGAGACACGGCCCAAACUCCUACGGAAGGCAGCAG
rnacentral:rRNA from 1 species